AGAUCUAUAGUUCAACGGUUAGAACACACGCCUGAUAAGCGUGAGGUUGAAAGUUCAAUUCUUUCUAGGUCUA
rnacentral:tRNA from 1 species